AUUGAACGCUGGCGGCAUGCUUUACACAUGCAAGUCGAGCGGCAGCGCGGGACUCAGGCAACCGAGCCCUGGCGGCGAGCGGCGAACGGGUGAGGAAUACAUCGGAACGUACCCCGGAGUGGGGGAUAACGCCGCGAAAGCGGCGCUAAUACCGCAUAUGCUCUGUGGAGGAAAGUGGGGGACCCGCAAGGGCCUCACGCUCUGGGCGCGGCCGAUGUCCGAUUAGCUAGUUGGUGAGGUAAUGGCUCACCAAGGCGACGAUCGGUAGCUGGUCUGAGAGGAUGAUCAGCCACACUGGGACUGAGACACGGCCCAGACUCCUACGGGAGGCAGCAGUGGGGAAUUUUGGACAAUGGGGCAACCCUGAUCCAGCCAUGCCGCGUGAGUG
rnacentral:rRNA from 1 species